AAAAGUAUACUUUCAGGGAUCAUUUCUACAGUUUCUUACUAGAGAAAUUUCUCUGAAUGUAUAGAGCACCAGAAACCACCAGAAGGAGGCGCAGUGUUCUCUUCUGAGCAUGAAGCCUGCUCUUGGUGUUGCUUGGCUACAACAGCCAUUUGCCAUUGAUGAUUGUUCUCUCCCUUCCAGGGAGUUAGAGGGAGAGGACACAAUCUGAGUGAU
ensembl:snoRNA U3 Small nucleolar RNA U3